rnacentral:lncRNA from 1 species
CAUAAAUCUUUUAAUAACAGUAAAUGAAGGAAAGAUUUAACAGUAAAGUCCCGUGGUGAGGGUUCCUUUUCAUUCAGGGAUCUUCAACAACAGAAACACCUCAGACUAAAAUUCAGAAUGCUAAGUACACAAAUUAAUGACCAUUUAUUUCCAAAGGUGACCGCAGAAACCAUUUCAGUACAAUCAAAAGGUUUUACAAAACAGAAAACAUUACAAAAUGCCCCAAGAGGUGAGCAAACUGGUGGCGGGCACAGAGCACCCAAGAACCAGCUUGGCAAAAAUACUCAUCCUGCAGCCUUUUUUGGGGGGAGGGGGAGUGGGGGCACAAAGGCUGGCUCGAAAGGAAGCCACUGUGGGGGGCGGGUGACAGGGUGAUGGGGGUUGGGGGGGGGUCUGCCCAGUGCAUAGCAAUCCCACCUUGGGAAUGAGGAAGGACUGGGGUGGGGGUGGGGGGAAUGACAGAGGCACUGCCAUUUUCCUGGCAGAAAGAAUCACAAGUCAGACUAUCCUAUCCUGUCUACCACAAUGACACCAAGAGAAAUGAAGAAUUCUUCCAAAUAUAAUACAAAACGGACACUGAAAGAAAGCGGGUUUCCAAAACAACAGCUUGGCUUGAAAAACGCCUCUGUUUUGUUUGUUUCGUGCCACGAGUAGCAAACCAGUGUACAAAAAUGUCACAAGGGCAACGACAAGCGACUAGGUUUUCCUGAGCAGGAGUGGCUCGACUCUAUAUACAGAAGAGCAAGGCUCGUUCCCUCUCAGGACCCCAACCCGCCGCCCAGAGGGCAGGGCGGGGUGUGCAGUGAGGGCGCUCCUUCCCAGUAGGCCAGGGCAGUGCCACACCAGCCCUUCUCCCCUCGCCCACCUCCCCUUCUCCACUUUGGAUGACUCGGGAUGGGCGUCCGAGACAGUCUUUUUGGCCGAGGGAGAGGUAGGGAGGGGCUUCUGUCAGCCCAGACCUACCACCAGCACACAGAGACGUGCUGAUACCCUGCGAUGUAUGUGUGGGCAGCUGCGCUCGCACCACAAAACACUGCAUUAUAUCGACAAGCACGAAGAACCAAGGCCCAAUGGAGGCUGCAGCCAGAGGGAUGAUGUGAGAGCUGGACUUGGGUACCGGAUGAGAAAGGGAACCGACCGCCCUGCGAGCAGCUUCUGUGGAUGCUGAGAAGUCGCAGGAGAAAGAGAGACGGUUGGCUUGGGAGACUGAGGCGGUGGCUUCCUCGCAAGCUGACAGAGGAACGUGGCCCUGGGCCUCCGGGAAGAAGAUGGGCCCCGAUCAUCUUUGGUGUAAGGAACCAAAUACGGGGGUGGGGGAGGGGGGGCCGCGAGCAGGCAUGACCUUCUCUCUGUGACCGUGAGCUGAUGCUGCGAGUUGGCCAGCUGAGCACACUGUUCUCAUGGGCCCAAAUCUUUAGCCGAGGCUACCUGGGGACUGGAAGGAACACUCCUCUCCCUUCCCAGGGCCGGUUUAAAAGAAGCUUCCACAAACACCGUCUCAGACACACACAGAGCUCCCACACGCUGGCAAAGAGCAUGUGGAAACUUGGCCAGGCUGGUUGGGGAACCCCCUGUGCACUCACAGAGAAGCAGGGCUGGAGGGGCACCCCCUAGGCAGGCCGCUGAGGGUCUGGCCAGGUCACCUCUCCACAUGGGCCUCAAGGACAGGCCAACCGAGAUGCCGGCUGCUCCCCCAGGACCUCAAAUGCUGGCCGCAACUCCCCAUGGCGCCCGUGGCCAGGGCUUGCUAUACAUUCCUCCCCCACUACAUGUUCGGGAGCCAGCCUGGCCCCCAGAAGGCUUCUCCAAAUGCACACAUCAAAAACAAAAACAAAACAAAACAAAACAACAAAAAAACAAAGGAACAAGCAAACACAACCCAAAAAGCCAAAACAAAAACAAAAACAAAAAACAAACCCAACUCUAGCUCAUCCUGCCCUGAAGCUGCCUUUUGAAAAGAGAAAGAGAGACAUUUAAGGGGCACUCACAAUGAAAACACCAUCUAUUAUCAACAUUAAACUGAACGCAAGCAUGAUUCACAUCAUAGGUUUCUCGAGUUACCACUUCUGUUGAUUAACUGCUGUGCUCACUUCUGAUUGGGAUGUGGGUCACCUCUCAGCUCUCAGGCAGAAUUUACCCAAGGUCUUGCCUAGUAUGAGCCAGUGGGCAUUUCAACCUUGUUCACUUUGGAUUUGCCACUGCAACAGGGCUCAGUAGGAUCUAGCCCCUGGGCUGGGUAGCGCCCCCACCUCCCACGGCUGGCAGUAUCCUGGAGGGAGUGGCUGGUUGGCUGCUUGCUUUGAGUCAUGGGACACUAGUGGGAAGAAUCUGGCCAGUUCUAUUUUGGCCACGAGCUGGGAAAUCCCUUGGCUCUGGGCUUGCCGCUGGUAUAGAAACAAGGCCUCAGUCCCCUCACGGCGGGGGCUGUGCUGGAGGCAGAAGGGGACCCCCGGCCGAAGGCUGGAGGUCCCUGGCAGUGGAGAAAUGAAACACAACCCAAUCGCAUUGCUUCGACGCCCAAACAACUCCUGCUGCUUGUUGUUCCCUUUCUCCUCAACCAGCUGUUGUUAAAGCACCAACAAGCAGAGUGACAGCCACUGACUACCGUCUCCCCAUGUAAGGCCACUAGAAGCAGGGAGAGAGCGCCAGAGGGGAGGAGGAAAGGUCCGGCCCUCAGCACUACCACCCCCGCCAGGCUCUCGGAGCCUCCGUCCUGGGGGAAGAGCUGGUGAAGGAAAAAGUGCUGGAAGAAAGGGACGGGGGUGGGGGGGGGGAGAGAAAUACACCAAACACCCUACUGCCCUCUCCCAUGAUUUCAUCAAGAACUGGGUGUCCUCCAAGUCAAGUCAGGACUUGUUUCCUCAGGGGGAGAAGAAAAAAAGAAAAAAGAAAAAAAAAAAAAAACCAAACCACCCCAAAACAAAAGAAAAAAACAAAAACAAAAACCCCGCAAGCACCUUCAGUCUAUUUUCUUGGCUGGAAGCCGGAGCAAAUCCAGCAGAUAUUUACACAAGGGCCCAGCCAUGUAUGAGAACAGGAUAACCAGCUUCCCGUGGGUCAUGGUCAUGAGAGUCUGGUGUCCCGAGGCCCAGAUGCGGUACCAGGGGCCGUAGAAUGGGUCUGAGAUGGCCGGA